AAAAGAAACUGCUACUAUGAUAAUGGACGUUUAAGAGGUUACUUUCUUUCUCUUCCUGGCUUUUCAUGUGGAUUCUGUUCAGAGUGUGCAGUAAACUAUUACCCAAACUAAUAAGUUCUCGACCUACUUUUGAAGAUAUUGACUAAGAAUCAGAUCCAAACCUCUCACAUCUGAAAGGAAAAGUGACAAAUUUCUGAAUAAUAGUACGUGAAUUUAUUCUAUAGCUGCUCUCUGGACCAAAUGAUGCCUAAACCCAAGAGAGAAAUUAAUGCACAGUUCAUCAAGAUUUACACCAGGCAGAUGUCCAGGGACAUGCGGCCGGAAGAACCGGAUUUCAGCCCGGCUGAGUCACCACAGCAGCCGCCUUGUGAUGGAUGUAGCCCGCAGGCGGAUCCAGCCGCCUCGAAACAGGGCCUCAAGGGAUUGGAUAAGGCCUACCCACAUUGCUGAGGGUGGAUCUUGUUACUCAGCCUACUAAUGCAAAUGCUUAUCUCUUCUGGAAACAUCCUCACAGAUACACCCAGAAAUUAUGUUUAACCAGCUAUCUGGGCAUCCCUUGGUCCAGCCAAGUUGACACAUGAAAUUACCGAUCACAAACACUUUGUUGCUUCAUUGCUUAUCAAAUAAAGCAACUCUUCUAUUGUCUAUUAAUGUUAACUUCCAAGAUGGUGAGUCAAGUGCUAGCUAGUCAACUCUGUCACAAGGACUUCAAAAUAGUCUUGUAGACACAUCAGAAGGAAGGCUGCCAAUCAUUUGUGGAGUGCUCCAGAAAAGUGAGGACUCUAAUCAU
rnacentral:lncRNA from 1 species